rnacentral:rRNA from 1 species
GAUGAACGCUAGCUACAGGCUUAACACAUGCAAGUCGAGGGACGGGCGCACGGGUGAGUAACGCGUAUCCAACCUUCCCAUUACUGUGGGAUAACCUGCCGAAAGGCAGAAUAAUACCGCAUAGUAAUGGAAGGGGAUGCGUCUGAUUAGCUUGUUGGAGGGGUAACGGCACACCAAGGCGACGAACAGUAGGGGUUCUGAGAGGAAGGACCCCCGCAUUGGAGCUGCGGCACAGUCCAAACUCCUACGGGAGAGAGCAGUAAGGAAUAUUAGUGAAUGGACGGAAGUCUGAACCAGCCACGUAGCGUGCAGGAUGACGGGGUAGGAGUUGUAUACUGCUUUUGUAUGAGGAUAGGUACCAUACGAAUAAGGACCGGCUAAUUCCGUGCCAGCAGCCGCGGUAAUUC